GCUUUUUACGCAACUCAAUUGUGUUCUUCUUGUAAUGUUGUAUAGAUAAGAUAGCUAAGAUAUGUAUCACUAACAUUGUAAUUUUGAUUGUCUGCAGGCAAAGAGAAUGAUUGGAAUCUAGAAAGAGUAAUGAUUAGAAAAAAAUCAAGUGGUCAGUUUAGUUCCUGCUAACAUGUAUGUGUGGCUCCAUCAACAUUUCCCUCCUCCAAUACCAAAAAAAAAUGCAUCUUACACCAAAUGUCAUACUGUAUGGCUCAAGUGGACAUACAUAUCUUUACUGGAUGUGGACAAGGCCAUUUAGCUUGGAUUCCAUUUCAGCUUUUACUUACUGCGUUUGAUGCUCACAAUCAAGAUGAGGGGAGUGUGGAUGACGUCUUGGAGGUGUGUCCAAAAUUUGGAGUGGGGGUACAGAACAUACGGACGAUAAUCUUCGUGGCGGGGUAGCCUGCUGUGUUUGUGCCGGGACAUACAACCUUGCUUUCUUUUCGGCCACAGGUUUUUUGUGGUGAUGUGUUACAGAAGUGCCACUUCUGCUGCUCCAUACUUCUUUUAAUGGACCUUUUAAUGAAAGUGCAAUUUUGUUAUGCCCAUUCCUUUACAAGCAUACCCUAUACUACAAUGGACACUUUACCUGCUUCCGCAGCGUCAUCAUCAUCAGAUGUGAUAGGAGUUACUGGCCGACGAGUAGUACUGCUUUUUUCAGACACUGUAUAAAAAAUAAAUAGAUAAAAA